ensembl:rRNA 5S_rRNA 5S ribosomal RNA
AUGUAUGUCCAUACCACCCCGAACACACCCAAUUUCAUCUGAUCUUGGAAGCAAAGCGGGGUCGAUUCUGGUUACUACUUGGAUGGGAGACUGCCUGGGAAUACCAGGUGCUGUAGGCU